GAUAAUAAUUUUAUAGGCGAAUGGUGGAUGCCUUGGGAUAUCGAGGCGAUGAAGGACGUGGCGUACCUGCGAUAAACUUCGGGGAGGUGGUCAGCAACCUUUGAUCCGGAGGUCUCCGAAUGGGGAAACCUAAUUCCGCAAAACGGAAUUGCCCUGCCCGCAAGGGUUGGGAGUUAACCUGGGGAAGCGAAACAUCAUAGUACCCAGAGGAAAAUAGAACAAUUGUUUAUUCCCUUAGUAGUGGCGAGCGAAAAGGGAAGAGCCCAAACCAUUUUUUUAAAUGGGGUUGCAAGGAUUUAGCGUCGGGAGUAUCCUUUGGUCUGCAAUAGUAGCAGGUCGAAGGAUCCUUACCGAGGGAGAAUGUUAAAGCAUAAACUUUUUCUGAAACUUUCAGUUUAAAGUUUUUCGUUAGUCAAACGUCCCUGGAAUGGGCGACCAUAGGAGGUGAUAGUCCUGUAGACGAAAACGGCUUUAUGCUCCUUGCUAUUUUACUUAAGUACUGUCGGGCAUGAUAACCUGGCAGGAAUCCGGCCGAACUAUACGGCCAAGGCUAAAUACUCGAUAUCACCGAUAGUGAACUAGUACCGUGAGGGAAAGGUGAAAAGUAGGGGGACGACCCCGAUGAAAUAGAAUCUGAAACCAUUUGCUUACAACGAGUUGGAGCCCUGCUUGCAGGGUGACAGCGUGCUUUUUGCAGAACGAGCCAACGAGUUUAAUUUCCCAGCUGUCUAAG
rnacentral:rRNA from 1 species